AAAUCAAAAAAUAUAAAAAUGAAAUUUGGGAAAAAAGUCGUCAUUUUCUGUGGAACCGCUCAGUUAUUUUUCCAAGCUUUUCACUAUUGACAUUCUAGAUCGUUCUUCACUUUACAAGGAAUGAGAAACAAUGAAACGUUAUCGUGUCUUCCAUUAUCCAUAAGAAUAGGUACGACGUUCAUAAAGUUUAUAUGUUUAUCGAACAGAUGAUAAAUAGUUUAAUUUAAUUUUCAAGCUUGCUGUCGAUCUCGUUUUUGUUAAAUCGUUUUUUGUACGUAGUACAUGUCCUACCUGUCCCACUUCCGGCGCCACUGAUCGUCAUAAUCAAAACUUCAACAGCAGUUUUUCUGUUCAACUGAAAUUUGUUUGACAAAAAGUGAUCACUGUGUUUCGGUUGGAUAAUAGAAUACAGUGAACAUUCAUGAUUUUGAAAUGAAAGAACUUUUUUAGAAAAAUCUCAAAUUGAUGACGGCUCCUGCCCCCUUAAGGUUCUGCCGUAGACUAGUAACAAAAUACUGAAUAGAUUAGAUUUUAAUCGGGUAGACCUUGUCCUGUCGAACAUUUUUAUAAAAGAUAUCAGCUUCUAACUGAACAGAAAUAGAGAAGAGAAAUAUAAUCUCGAAUGUUCCCUUGUUCCUUUUCCAGAAAUACAGUUCUCCCAAACUAUUUGAGAAUUGAGACAUCAGAUGCUCUAGCUAUCAAAUAAGCAUAACGAAAUCAAGAAUAUAGAACUAGAUAUUCCACGUGGAAAUAUUGUGAUAUUUUUAUUUGUUUCUUUUUUAGAAUUUCUUAUCAACAAUGUCACCUUAUUUAAAUUCUUACAUAAAGAGAAGGUCAUUCAUAAACUAUA